ensembl:lncRNA
ACAGGGGCUAGGAGGUGGCAUUGGCUCUCCGGUGGGCUUGCUGAAGCGGGUUCUGGAGACCGGUUGGGCUUUGUCUAGUGACCGCCGAGUGUCGCCCGUUGGGAGGGAAGUGGUAGGGAGGCCUAAGGACAGGAUGGGACGCCUGACCGUCCUCUGGGAGCUCUCGGCGCCAGCUGAGGCCUUUGGUCGUGGGCGAGGGCUUUCCCGAGACCUGCUGCAUGCGGGUCCUUGGCUGCCAAGCCUGCCUGCGCUUCUUCCAGUCCCCGGGGCAUCCCCCUUUGGUGGGAGGUUAGCCUCCUGCUCCUGCUGAAGUUUCGGCGGAGCCUGUCAACGGGGCGGUGGUCUUGAACUCUGCUGGGAAACACUGCGGAUGCUUUUGCGCUUUCGUGCUAUUUACGUUCAAAAUUUGAAGUCGUCUGUAAUGGUGUCUCUGCCUUCUCUUCUACUUUCCGUUUUGCGUGUCCUGAAUUAAAGGAAAGUUAAAAAGGUGACUAUAGAAUGGCCAAGGUGUUAAAUCAAAAGGAUGUCAUAGCCAGCCUUCUAAGAGAGGAUAAUUAAAAUGUUUUGGUUUACAGUUGAGUCCAGUUUGAGAUUUUAACGUUAUCUCCUUUUUGGUGAGGAGUAGGGAGCAGACUGAGCCCAACCAAGGCAUAGUUGCAUAAUUGGUGCCCAAACGCCAUUCGGACGAAAAAAGGACUCUGAGUUUUGUUUGAAUACAUAUUCUUUAGAAGUUUAAAGUAGUUAUUUUUUACACCCUUAUAAAAAAUGAAAGAUGUGACACAUAGAAUUGGAUUAGGUUACUUGAAACUGGAGGAACCGGCUCACUUAAAAGUCUCCUACCCAAUGGAUAGAUUCCCUUUGUCACAGACAAGUACAGUUCAGGUGAAAAACAAGGUGUUUUAAUUUAUACUUUCUGUACCUUCCAGAUAUUGUAUUUGUAUUUUGUGAUCAGAAAUGUUAUGAAAAGAAUCAACACACUUUUAUGCAGUUUAGCCAAUUCAUUACUAAGUCUUAUGCCUUUAGUCUGCUCAUUAAGACACUAGUACAGAAUUUCAAAAGGAACUUAAAAAUCACCCUAUAAUUGUAGGUUGCAGUUACAGGACAUCUUUGUAUCCCCAGAACCUACCGAGGGGUUUUAACAAUUGAAUGGUGGUGGUGGAUAAGAUGCUAUGAUUCUAAUCUGAUUCAGAGAGAAACCUUAAUUCUGCUUUUGUCACAGGUAAUGGAAUUUUGUGUUAAUAUUUACCAGUGACUGUAGAACAGUUCAAAUGUAUGUAGUAUUCAGAUCCACCCAUAAUCUUCAGAUUUUCCCCAAAUCACCUCUUGUACCUUCUAUCUUACAUUUUAUCAGAUUAAUGGCUUGAAAAUAUUUCACUUCCAAUCAAUGUUAGUCUAGGCUCUUACAAAAAGCUGGACUGUUUUUCCAGUUUUCUGAAUAAGUUAAUUUAUUUCUAGCUCCUUUCAAAAACUGUUACCAUCAUGUUUCUUAAAAUAUUUCAGGGGCCGGCCCUGUGGCGAGUGGUUAAGUUUGUGCGCUCUGCUUGGGCGGGCCAGGCUUUCGCUGGUUCGGAUCCUGGGUGCAGACAUGGCACCACUCAUCAGGCCAUGUUGAGGCAGCAUCCCACUUAGCACAACCAGAGGCACUCACAACUAUGAUAUACAACCAUGUACUGGGGGCUUUGGGGAGAAGAAAAAAAAUUGGCAACAGAUGUUAGCUGUUAAAGAUUAGGUGCCAAUCUUUAAAAAAAAAAGAAUAUUCAGAUCCCACAAUUAGAAGGACAUGCAACUAAGAUAUACAACUGUGUACAGGGGGGGUUUGGGGAGAUAAAGCAGGAAAAAAAAAAAAGAUUGGCAACAGUUGUUAGCCCAGGUGCCAAUUCUUAAAAAAAAUAAAAAUAAAUUCAGUAACUCAAAACUUUCUGGAAAAUUGGUUCAUUUUGGCAUUAUUUGUACAAUGACAUAACCGUUAGUGUAUGUAUAAAGAAAGAUACUGAGAAAUUAUGUAUUAAACUCUUAAAAGUAUCUCUGGGAGGAGGUGUUAUAGGUGAUUCUGAUGUAUUAAAUUAUUUGUGAAAAAUCUGAAUUUUUUUAUCAUGCAUUUGUAGAUUUUUUUAGACACUAAAGAAUUUAAAACCAAACUAGUAGAUGCUCUCCAUUGAGAGCUGUGACUGUAGAGGCAUCACUUAUCUCAGAACCUGUUGCCUUAUCUGGAAGGCGAAAACCACAUAUUUAUUUGACAGUGUGAUUGGGAGGAUAUAUGAGAAUGUAGGUAAAUGAAUGUGGCACAGGGCCUAUCAGAUGCUUUUUAAGUGCUUGAUAAAUGUUAACCCAUGUCUCUCCAAUUCUCACUUUAAUGAUCUACAGCAGUAGUUACUAAGCACUUUGAUAACUCUUGGAGAUUCAGAAGAAAGCUAUGAAAAAUAUACUAAAAAAUUUGCAGUUUCAUAGGGCUCAUGGACCCAGAGGUUAAGAGUCAUUGGCCUGUAGACUAAACUCAGUUAAUCUCUCACUCAGCUUCCACACUGAAAGCAUUAAUCGGCUUACAUUCUUUUGGAAAUGUGUUAUUAGGUUACUUAAAACAUUCCUCUCCAAUUUCAGGCAAACUGGUUCUCAGCAUACAUGUUGACAUAAGCAGGGGUAUAAUACAACUGGUAAUGUUUUGUUACUGGCUGAUUGCAUGAUUGCCCUAUUUCAAGGUUGUCUAUAGUAAUUCCAGUAGGAAUGCAAUUUUUGUUUUUACCAACUGUACCCGCUGGCCUCCUGUUAACCCCAUUCAUUCCAUCUUUGAAAAUAUCACCCAAUAGUGAGCCCCAAGGUUUAUCAAGUGUGGUUAAUGUGUUGUUUAUUUUAGUGGCAAAAAAGAGGAAAACUACACUCAAUUUCCAAUGUUAUAAAUCUUCUAAAGCCCCUGAAGAUUCCAGGUGACCCUUUGAAACUGGCUAUCUCCACAAGAUUCUAGCCCUCAUUUUGGCUUCUAAUCUAAAUCUAAAGUAGAGCAUUCCAGACAAAAGAAAAAUUAAGUUUCAUUAAUACACAUAGUACGUCUGCAGUGUUUCAGC